ensembl:ncRNA F25G6.15 ncRNA
UUCGCUUCAAUCUUUCCCACCCCAAGUAAUCCGGGCGCUUCUUCUCCCCUAGCACCCAUCCUGCGCCUCCUGAUGCCAAUUUCCGGUUACCAUCUCUACUCUUCUCCGGAGGACUGGCAAACA